rnacentral:rRNA from 1 species
UACGUAGGGGGCUAGCGUUGUCCGGAUUUAUUGGGCGUAAAGAGCGUGUAGGCGGCCAGGUGGGUCUGCUGUGAAAACUCGAGGCUCAACCUCGAGACGUCGGCGGAAACCAUCUGGCUAGAGUCCGGAAGAGGAGAGUGGAAUUCCUGGUGUAGCGGUGAAAUGCGCAGAUAUCAGGAAGAACACCCGUGGCGAAGGCGGCUCUCUGGGACGGUACUGACGCUGAGACGUGAAAGCGUGGGGAGCGAACAGG